rnacentral:lncRNA from 1 species
AGUGGUGAGGGUGAUGGGUCGACUACCGAGGCUACAGAGAAUGAGCUGAAUACUGUCAGGUCUUUCACGGAUCAUAAUUAUGAAAAUGAUACCAAAAAUGCAAGAUUAGUGCCCGAGCCUGCUGAGAAUCUGAUCUAGGAAAUUGCAGUUCUGAGGCUGGAAGUGUCCGUCCGGGACAAUAUCUCCUUUCAUUGCAGCUGAGAAGCAGAGAUGCUGCAGGAGAAUUCUACAGGCUUCGAGUUGUGGAUGGGGUCAUCUUUGAGCCACUCAGGGGUGCACAUGCAGAUCUGUCUUGAACUCUUUCCAGUGUAUAGAAGCAUUGUCUGUUAUAGAUAAUUUUCUGAAGCUGAAAUAUAAAGACUGUAAAAAUUCCAAAGCUCUCAAUAAGGCCGCCCCUGUGAAUCUUGCAUAUCAUGCCUAUGGUACACCUUGGUCAAUCAUUGUACUGUGUUAACAACCAGAAUUCGGAUUUCCAAUGCGCCUGAAGAGAGAAGGAUAUGGUUCUAUGAAGCACAAAAAAUUUGAUUUCUAUGUGUCAUUUAUUCUUUUGAGCAAGAGUUACAUCCAAGGAAGAUAGAAAAACUACAGAUGAAAUAGAACCUCUAGAUUGCAGAGUGGUUAUCAAACUCCAGGAUUCUGCAGUAGCAGAGCUCUUUGGGCAGUCUCCUCAGCCUUUCAUCAACUUCAAUUGCAGCAACAAUUUCCUCAUGCACAGAAAAACUUGUCAGACUAAAAUGCUUGGAAAAAGACUUGAAAUUUUGAUUUGGGCACCAAAGAGAGCAAAGCGUAGUUAAGGAUCCAGCAUCAGCAAUGCAAUUCCAGUCUCAAGUGCACUCGCAGGCUCUUCUCCGUCUGGUCACCUCGGUGCACACCUCCUCCUCUGUUUGCUUCUUUGAUUGGGAAUUCAUUGUUUUAAAUUGAAUUUUCAAAUCCUUUUUCAACUAAACAUUUCCAGCUUUGAAAAAUCCAUCUUUAAAUCCCUUCUAGAUAAUAAAACCCAGAUUUUAGUAAAUUUGCUGUCAUUUUCCUUUUGACAUGCAUUUUCACUAUUUUCUUUAAUUUUCAACCAUUUUCUUGAUUUUCUCGAUUUUCAACAAGCAUGAACAAACUUCAUGAUUCCAAACAAUGGAAUUCAUUGAAUCGACUCAUGCAAAAUCAACUAGGGCUUUGGUGG